rnacentral:rRNA from 1 species
UACGGAGGGUGCGAGCGUUGUCCGGAAUCACUGGGCGUAAAGGGCGCGUAGGCGGCCUGAUAAGUAGGGGGUGAAAUCCUGCGGCUUAACCGCAGGGCUGCCUUCUAAACUGUCAGGCUUGAGCACAGUAGAGGCAGGUGGAAUUCCCGGUGUAGCGGUGGAAUGCGUAGGAGAAUCGGGAAGAACAUCAGUGGCGAAGGCGGCCUGCUGGGCUGUUGCUGACGCUGAGGCGCGACAGCGUGGGGGAGCAAACAGG